AUUAAUUUACAAAAUUCAUUAAUUAUCAUAAUAUAAUUAGAAAUACAACCUAUGACUGCUAAAUUUUAACUUAUAUCUACUUCAGCUAUUGCAGUUGCAACUUAUUGGUGAUUAUCCCAUCUAUCAUUAUAUAUGUACUCUAAAGCUUUUGUGGCUACUUGUUUUUUGGUUAAUCCUGAUAUUCCAAUUAAUAAUAUUCC
rnacentral:lncRNA from 1 species